UACAGAGGUCCCGAGCGUUGUUCGGAUUCACUGGGCGUAAAGGGUGCGUAGGUGGCUUGAAAAGUUUGAUGUGAAAGCUCAGGGCUUAACCCUGAAAUGGCAUUGAAUACUGUCGAGCUGGAGGUUUGGAGGGGGGACUGGAAUUCUUGGUGUAGCAGUGAAAUGCGUAGAUAUCAAGAGGAACACCAGUGGCGAAGGCGAGUCCCUGGACAACACCUGACACUGAGGCACGAAAGCUAGGGGAGCAAACGGG
rnacentral:rRNA from 1 species